rnacentral:rRNA from 1 species
UAGUUUGAUCCUGGCUCAGGAUGAACGCUAGCGGCAGGCCUAAUACAUGCAAGCCGAACGGUAACAGGUCUUUCGGGACGCUGACGAGUGGCGCACGGGUGCGUAACGCGUAUGCAACUUACCCAUGACAGGGGGAUAGCCCGGGGAAACCCGGAUUAAUAGCCCAUAGUACUUGAGAGUCGCAUGGCUUUCGGGUUAAAGAUUUAUCGGUCAUGGAUGGGCAUGCGUCUGAUUAGUUAGUUGGUAGGGUAAAGGCCUACCAAGGCUAUGAUCAGUAGGGGUUCUGAGAGGAUGAUCCCCCACACUGGUACUGAGAUACGGACCAGACUCCUACGGGAGGCAGCAGUAGGGAAUAUUGGGCAAUGGGUGAGAGCCUGACCCAGCCAUGCCGCGUGCAGGAAGAAGGCGUUAUGCGUUGUAAACUGCUUUUGCAAGGGAAGAAAGAGGUUAUGCGUAACCAGUUGACGGUACCUUGCGAAUAAGCACCGGCUAACUCCGUGCCAGCAGCCGCGGUAAUACGGAGGGUGCAAGCGUUGUCCGGAUUUAUUGGGUUUAAAGGGUACGCAGGCGGAUGCUUAAGUCAGAGGUGAAAGCCUACGGCUCAACCGUAGAACUGCCUUUGAUACUGAGUAUCUUGAGUACAGUAGAGGUAGGCGGAAUUCAUGGUGUAGCGGUGAAAUGCAUAGAUACCAUGAGGAACACCGAUAGGGGAGCCAGCUUACUGGACUGUAACUGA